AACGCACGAGACCUGCGGACCUGCGGAAGGAUCAUUAUUGAAAUCCUUCCAAGGAUGUUGCUGGUCCUUAGGGACAUGUGCACUCCGCCUUUCUAUACACCUGUGAACUUAUUGUAGGUGCAGAUGUAACAAGUCUGUUACCUAUGUUUUUUAACACACCCUUUUAAAAUGUAUAAUGGAAUGUUGAUGGAUAAUAAUAACAAUACAACUUUUAACAACGGAUCUCUAGAUCGGAAGAGC
rnacentral:misc_RNA from 1 species